GUGAGGAAUAUUGGUCAAUGGGCGGAAGCCUGAACCAGCCAUGCCGCGUGCAGGAAGACGGCCCUACGGGUUGUAAACUGCUUUUCCGGGGGAAGAAUAAGGCCGACGAGUCGGCCGAUGCCGGUACCCCGGGAAUAAGGAUCGGCUAACUCCGUGCCAGCAGCCGCGGUAAUACGGAGGAUCCGAGCGUUAUCCGGAUUUACUGGGUUUAAAGGGUGCGUAGGCGGGCGUCUAAGUCAGCGGUGAAAGGCGGCGGCUCAACCGUCGGACUGCCGUUGAUACUGGGGGCCUAGAAUGCGGUCGAGGCGGGCGGAAUGCGUGGUGUAGCGGUGAAAUGCUUAGAUAUCACGCAGAACGCCGAUUGCGAAGGCAGCUCGCCGGGCCGUGAUUGACGCUGAGGCACGAAAGCGUGGGGAUCGAACAGGAUUAGAUACCCUAGUAGUCC
rnacentral:rRNA from 1 species